AGUGAACGCUGGCGGUAGGCCUAACACAUGCAAGUCGAACGGCAUCACAGUAAGGGCUUGCUCUUACGGGUGGCGAGUGGCGGACGGGUGAGGAAUACAUCGGAAUCUACUUUUUCGUGGGGGAUAACGUAGGGAAACUUACGCUCAUACCGCAUACGACCUCCGGGUGAAAGCAGGGGAUCUUCGGCCCUUGCGCUAUUGAAUGAGCCGAUGUCGGAUUAGCUAGUUGGCGGGGUAAAGGCCCACCAAGGCGACGAUCCGUAGCUGGUCUGAGAGGAUGAUCAGCCACACUGGAACUGAGACACGGUCCAGAAUCCGACGGGAGGCAGCAGUGGGGAAUAUUGGACAAGGGGCGCAAGCCUGAUCCAGCCAUACCGCGUGGGUGAAGAAGGCCUUCGGGUUGUAAAGCCCUUUUGUUGGGAAAGAAAAGCAGCAGGUUAAUACCCCGCUGUUCUGACGGUACCCAAAGAAUAAGCACCGGCUAACUUCGUG
rnacentral:rRNA from 1 species